GAUGAACGCUGGCGGCGUGCUUAACACAUGCAAGUCGAACGAUGAAGCCAGCUUGCUGGUGGAUUAGUGGCGAACGGGUGAGUAACACGUGAGUAACCUGCCCUUAACUCUGGGAUAAGCCUGGGAAACUGGGUCUAAUACCGGAUAUGACUCCUCAUCGCAUGGUGGGGGUGGAAAGCUUUUGUGGUGUUGGAUGGACUCGCGGCCUAUCAGCUUGUUGGUGAGGUAAUGGCUCACCAAGGCGACGACGGGUAGCCGGCCUGAGAGGGUGACCGGCCACACGGGGACUGAGACACGGCCCAGACUCCUACGGGAGGCAGCAGUGGGGAAUAUUGCACAAUGGGCGGAAGCCUGAUGCAGCGACGCCGCGUGAGGGAUGACGGCCUUCGGGUUGUAAACCUCUUUCAGUAGGGAAGAAGCGUAAGUGACGGUACCUGCAGAAGAAGCGCCGGCUAACUACGUGCCAGCAGCCGCGGUAACAC
rnacentral:rRNA from 1 species